rnacentral:rRNA from 1 species
AAAUUGAAGAGUUUGAUCAUGGCUCAGAUUGAACGCUGGCGGCAGGCCUAACACAUGCAAGUCGAACGGUAACAGAAAGCAGCUUGCUGCUUUGCUGACGAGUGGCGGACGGGUGAGUAAUGUCUGGGAAACUGCCUGAUGGAGGGGGAUAACUACUGGAAACGGUAGCUAAUACCGCAUAAC